rnacentral:pre_miRNA from 1 species
CACAUACUCCCUCCGUUCCAUAAUACACAUGCCUUCCAUUUGUCAAAAUAUAGAUGUAUCUAGACAUGUUUUAGUAUAUAGGUACAUCAAUUUUUUGACAAAUGGAAGUCAAGUAUUUCAGAACGAGGGAGUAUAUG